GAUGAAGAACGUAGCGAAAUGCGAUAAGUAGUGUGAAUUGCAGAAUUCAGUGAAUCAUCGAAUCUUUGAACGCACAUUGCGCCCCUUGGUAUUCCAUGGGGCAUGCCUGUUCGAGCGUCAUUUGUACCUUCAAGCUCUGCUUGGUGUUGGGUGUUUGUCUCGCCUUGCGCGUAGACUCGCCUUAAAACAAUUGGCAGCCGGCGUAUUGAUUUCGGAGCGCAGUACAUCUCGCGCUUUGCACUCAUAACGACGACGUCCAAAAGUACUUUUUACACUCUUGACCUCGGAUCAGGUAGGGAUACCCGCUGAACUUAAGCAUAUCAAUAAGCGAGGA
rnacentral:misc_RNA from 1 species